UACAGAGGGUGCAAGCGUUGUUCGGAAUUAUUGGGCGUAAAGCGCGUGUAGGCGGCUAUGCAAGUCGGGUGUGAAAGCCCUCAGCUUAACUGAGGAAGUGCGCCCGAAACUGCAAAGCUUGAGUACCGGAGAGGAUGGCGGAAUUCCCCAAGUAGAGGUGAAAUUCGUAGAUAUGGGGAGGAACACCGGUGGCGAAGGCGGCCAUCUGGACGGAUACUGACGCUGAGGUGCGAAAGCGUGGGGAGCAAACAGG
rnacentral:rRNA from 1 species